rnacentral:rRNA from 1 species
UGAAUACGAGACGCUAAGGCGUCGAAGUAGUGUAUGUCAUACUUCCAAGAAAAGCUUGCACUGUCAUAGAUAAAAAACGCCUGUACCAUAACCGACACAGGUGGGUAGGUAGAGUAUACUAAGGGGCGCGAGAUAACUCUCUCAAAGGAACUCGGCAAAAUAACUCCGUAACUUCGGGAGAAGGAGUGCCUUAUUCUUAAGGUUGCAAUAACAAGAUCCAAGCAACUGUUUAUCAAAAACACAGGUCUCCGCUAAGUCGUAAGACGAUGUAUGGGGGCUGACGCCUGCCCAGUGCCAGAAGGUUAAAGAAGCUGGUUAGCAUUUGCGAAGCUAGUAACUGAAGCCCUGGUGAACGGCGGCCGUAACUAUAACGGUCCUAAGGUAGCGAAAUUCCUCGUCGGGUAAGUUCCGACCCGCACGAAAGGCGUAAUGAUUUGGAUACUGUCUCGGAGAGGGGCUCGGUAAAUAGACUUGUCUGUGAAGAUGCGGACUACCUGCACCAGGACAGAAAGACCCCAUGAAGCUUUACUGUAACUUGAAAUUGAAAUUGGACUUUAUUCGCGCAGUAUAGGUGGGAGGCGUUGAUUAUAAUCUUGCGGGAUUAUUGGAGCCAUUAGUGAGAUACCACUCUUGUAAUGUUAGAUUUCUAACUUUGAAUCAUUAUCUGGUCAAAGAACAGUUUCAGGCGGGCAGUUUGACUGGGGCGGUCGCCUCCUAAACGGUAACGGAGGCGUACAAAGGUUUCCUCUGAACGGUUAGAAAUCGUAUCUAGAGUGUAAAGGCAUAAGGAAGCUUGACUGUGAGACCUACAAGUCGAGCAGGGACGAAAGUCGGUCUUAGUGAUCUGACGGUACUGAGUGGAAAGGCCGUCACUCAACGGAUAAAAGUUACUCUAGGAUAACAGGCUGAUCUCCCCCAAGAGUUCACAUCGACGGGGAGGUUUGGCACCUCGAUGUCGGCUCAUCGCAUCCUGGGGCGGUAGUACGUCCCAAGGGUUGGGCUGUUCGCCCAUGAAAGCGGUACGCGAGCUGGGUUCAGAACGUCGUGAGACAGUUCGGUCCAUAUCCGGUGUAGGCGUUAGAAUAUUGAGAGGAGCCUUCUUUAGUACGAGAGGACCGAGAAGGACAUACCUCUGGUGUACCAGUUAUCGUGCCAACGGUAAACGCUGGGUAGCUAUGUAUGGAGUGGAUAACCGCUGAAAGCAUCUAAGUGGGAAGCCCACCUCAAGAUAAGUAUUCUCAC